AUAUAAUCAAUCCUUCUCUUUUUGAGAAUGGUUUGGAUGUGGGGGUUUGCUGGCCUUUUUUAUUUGAAAGUUCAGCUCUCCUGAAAUGCAUUAGCAGAACAACCUUUGCUCAUUGGUGUGAUAACUAUCUACGCUUAUGAAUGUGAGGGGCAGUUCAGCUUUCUAACUGUCUUUUGGACAAUUCAUCAUUA
rnacentral:misc_RNA from 1 species